CGGCUAACUCCGUGCCAGCAGCCGCGGUAAUACGGAGGAUCCGAGCGUUAUCCGGAUUUAUUGGGUUUAAAGGGUGAGUAGGUGGAUUGUUAAGUCAGUGGUGAAAGUUUUCAGCUCAACUGAAAAAUUGCCGUUGAAACUGUCGAUCUUGAGUGCAAAUGAGGUAGGCGGAAUGUGUUGUGUAGCGGUGAAAUGCUUAGAUAUAACACAGAACUCCGAUUGCGAAGGCAGCUUACUGGGAUGCAACUGACACUGAUGCACGAAAGCGUGGGUAUCAAACAGGAUUAGAUACCCUGGUAGUCCACGCAGUAAACGAUGAAUACUAGCUGUAUGCGAUACACCGUAUGUGGCACAGCGAAAGCGUUAAGUAUUCCACCUGGGGAGUACGUUCGCAAGAACGAAACUCAAAG
rnacentral:rRNA from 1 species